AUCAUUUUAAAAUGUAAAAUGUUCUCUUAUAUACAAAUAGUUAAAUACAAUACUUAAUAUAAAAGUAUGUCUGGUAGCCUAGGGCUAUUUAAUUAGUUAUUACCUAAUUUUACACAAAGGCAUAAUUUGCAACCCAUACAAACUUCUCAUUAAAAUAUUUGUUAACUAUCUGUACGACGUCAACCUAUUCGACAUAUAAGAGUAAUAGGCAACAGGAGAUUUUUUUUUGUUUGAAAUCGAAUUGCUAAAGAUUAAAUUAGAAAGACACAUAUUCAGAAUUGUCAUCUUUAAAAGUGCUUGCAAUUUGUCGAUUGCCAGCUAUGCGUUUAAUUCAAAUGCAAAUCUUCCUGGUACGUUUCAAACAAAGGCAUUUUAAAACACUAUUUUCAAAGGUAUUGUUUAUAAAUACGACGUCACAUAAUAGGUGAAACUUUGGCAAUGGUCGAGAACAUCAAAUCGACAGUAAACAGGUUCUGACCUAUUGAUUUCUUGAAUUCUAAAUAACCAUGAAAUCUAAAUAUCCAUUACUAGUAAUUCCGUCCAUCAGUCAAAAUUCACCCAUGAUACAACACGGGUUUGAUCCGGUAUUUUACAGUCUAUGGGUAGAACGCAGCGUGUUGUGGUAGGAGUGGCAAUCUUCGCGCAUGUCAAUAAAGACGAAGCAGGGAAAGUGGGUCUCUCUUUCUGGAAAAAGAACCGAUGAGGACGUGUGGUGCCUGUGUGCGUUCGCAGCAAGAUUCAGUAAAUGUAAAAUUCCUCGUUUAUGUGACAGAUUGUCUUUUGGAGUAGAUGGUGGAUAUGUACUGGUCUAUUGAGGCAUCAUGCCUUUUGGAUGGUGGAUGGUGCCGGAUGUAUAGCUGUGGUGUUGGCAUCAUGCCUUUUGGAUGGUGGAUGGUGUCGGAUGUAUAGCUGUGGUGUUGGCAUCAUGCCUUUUGGAUGGUGGAUGGUGCCGGAUGUAUAGCUGUGGUGUUGGCAUCAUGCCUUUUGGAUGGUGGAUGGUGCCGGAUGUAUAGCUGUGGUGUUGAUGGGUUGGCCCAGCAGGGUGGUGAUGACAUGGGCCGGAGGGGUCUCCUAUAGCACGGUGAGUUAUCAGACGGCGGUUAUCCAUUUUAGUGUUGCUCGUGUGGAGUGGUGAGUUAUCGUUUUUGCCGUUUACACAUCAGACCAUUAUUGGGGUGUUGAGAAUGUAACUUCUCCUUAGAUGCAGCAUCUAAGGAUUGUUUUUAACACAUCUGAUCAUGUUCUUUUUUAGAUUUGAUGGGCCAUGAUGUGGACCUGAAGAUUGAACCCCCCUGGGGGUGAGUGUCUGCCUGUGAACUGAAUGUUGACUUCAUCUUUGAUUUAUUGUAAGCGCAUGCAACUGGAGUUGUGAUGAGUUCUACAUUUUGCCGUUUACCCAUCUGACUAAAUCGGGAUGCUGAGACUGUGACUAACUGAACGACCAGUAUAAUCACUGACAUUCUAUGCCGCCAUCAAAUGACUGGCCACACUGAUGUACUGUACUUCUCUCCUAGACUGUACGUGGAGUAUGAAGAGCUAAGUCUGGAUCCUGUGGUGAGUGUGUCCUCUGGGUUCAAUGUAGCUAAUACAUGGUUUUAUUUGGGUCUGUUUUUUUUUUACUACUGGUAUUGCGGUCAUGUAUAUUGGCCCCAUUUGUCUAAACAGAGUAUGUUAGUUACACAAGUCAGGUUCACUGACGUGUUGUCUGACAUUCCUUCAGGUUGGUUUGUGAGUUGCAGUAAAUGCAUAUCUUGUUGGUGAGUUCUUUCCUGGUAUUGCAUGUUGAACUGGAUUGUUAAUGUUCAGUACUUGCUGGAACUGUGAUGUCUUCUGACACAUUUCUGCAGACUCACCCUGCUGUAAAGCCAUUCAUCUGAGAUUCCUGCAUUAUGAAAUGUGUAGAAUAUUUGUAAAAUAGUUCAAGGAAGUGAGUUGUCUUUUUGAGAAGCUUAACAUAGAUUUGACUAAACUUUUGGUGAGUUUGACUUCUGUUCACACUUUGCCCAAGCUUCUGAGAUGGAUAUAUCUAUUUUUUUUAAGGUGACUACAGACUGUCAAAAGUACUGCCUGGUUGAACUACUGGUUAAAUGUUACAUUUUAAUGUGAUUUUACCCUGUAUGAUGUAAAUGAUUAAAGUUGAUCUCACAGUUAAU
ensembl:lncRNA